rnacentral:lncRNA from 1 species
UAUAAGUGCUCUGUUAUGAUUUUCAAUUAAAUUGUACUAUGGUACUGUUGAGGCAAAUUUAUCAAUAGGCCCACCAGCAUGUCAUGGAUGACCAAAGCUAUACAUAUUCUAAGAUCAUCAAACCAAUAAUUUGAGGAGAAGCAACCAUGCCACUUUAUAGUAUUCAUUCUCUUUUUUUUUUUGGAUGAUAAGCCACUUUAUAGUAUUCUUUGUACUCAUUUUCCUCCUUCUUCUUCCAUUGUUUAUUAUAUCAACUUGUCUCUUACUUUCUUAUGUUAUGUUUACACUUUGUGGAUUCGAAAGAAAAAAAAAAAUCAAAGAAAAUAAUGUCAAGGUGAUCAGAAGAAAAAAAA